rnacentral:tRNA from 1 species
UUAAUAUAGUUUAAAAAACAUCAGACUGUGAAUCUGAAAAUAGGACAUAAAAAUCUUAUAACCAA